rnacentral:lncRNA from 12 species
AUGACAAUGUUGAGUUCUGCACGUGGGUCCUGCAUUAUCUCUGAGGCAAGGAGCACAGGGCCUCCGCUUUGUUGGUCCCAUCUGGACAAGCUUUCCUUCUCACCUUAUAAAGGAAAUCUUCUCCAGACAGGUAACGAAGCUGAGACUCAGAGGUUUCAACUAUACAGUGAGGAGACGGCAGCAUCGAGCUUGUCUGACUCGGAAGGCCUUUCCACCACACAGAUGGUGUCAAUGGAUCUGCUUGAAUCAUGCGUUUUCUUCUAAGCUUUUUCUAGCCACAAAAUGCAUGUAAGCAGAGGAAAUGGACUUCCUGUCCUUGAAAAGCUUAUCGUAUUAGUGGAAGACGGGAUUCACACAAAUGGGGCAGUUUGAAAAUGCUCCAUAGGUAUGUUGAAUCCAGUGCUAAACUCAGCACUACAAACCCUACAUGUUGGCAGAGCUUCGAAAAAGGGAAGAAUAUGAGAAAGAAGUCAUCGAGCAGUGGGCUUUUGGUGGGGAGGAGUGCUCUGAAGAGAGAGGUAAGGGAUGGUCUUGGAGAGGAGGUCAAGGGAGGAAGAGAAGGUAGACAGAGAGAAGGCCAGCCGGUGGAAGAGAAAACCGAUCUAAUCAAGGAGAGUGGUCUAGGAAGUAGUCGAUAAUAGUGGUAGCGGAUCAUGAGGCGGUUGAGGAGGAAUGAGGAAGUCUUGAGAGCUAUGAAGAGGAAUCUAUACUCUGUGGAAACAAAGGACCUCAUGGUAGUUGUGGAGGGCACCGGCAAAUGAAAGAAGAGUGUUGGGAAGGGGGAGACAUCAGGAAGAAAGGAAAGGACUCAAGAGAAGAGAGCUGUUAAAACAUGCUUGUGCAAAAUACCAAGGACUGAGAUGAGAGAGAGAGGGAGCUGGAACCACCCUUCCAAAGAAGGACUGGCCAGACGUGGUGAGUAAAUUGAGCAGAUGAGAGAAGGAUGACUUCAUUUGUUUCCAUCAUGUUCAAUAAAGGGGAGGGGGCACAGAUGGGGAGCGUCA